CAGGCGCCGUCUGAAACGUGAUCAUCAGCAGCAAAACGAUCGUAAAUUUGCAGCUAAAUAACAAUACGCACACAUACACAAUUAUACAUUCACAUACAUAGUUCACAUUUCUAGUUGUCUAAAUGUCGGCAUAAACAUUUCACUCGACUAUUUUUUACGAGCGAAACGAAACACACAAAAAAAAAAAAAAAAAACAGAAAACAAAAAAAAAACAAAAAACAGACAGCACAAAUUAAAGCGUGCGACAUUGUGUAAUGCGUAUUACAAUGCCAACAAAAUGGGGCGUGGCUAGCCAAAAAGAGUUACACUUAAAAAAAGGAGAGAAGAAGACAAUAUUCUACGAGUGCUCAGCCCAGGAAGGUCUCGGGCUCCGGACGUGACAACAACACAUGACAGAGAGUUAGAAAAAAAUGGACAAGCGCAAAAUAAAACACAACAAAAAUCCCAAAAACCCAGAAAGAUUUAUUGAUCAAAGUGAUGUGAAUUGAAUUUGUGACUCAGUUGGCGGCUUCUGUUGCAACAUUCAAAUGCCCAGCCAUGCGUCAGCGCUGGAUAACAAUGCGCGGCGACGCUAUGUUGUCCAUUAGCCAGGGGCAGCUAAUUAAAAUGAAAGUUGUUUCUGCUGCUGCCGUCAAUUUGCAAAGUGAAAUUGCCUACUAGCAAAAUCAGUCAAAGAGCGAGAGGUUGGCCAACUGCAAAUGCCAACAAGUGCGAAAUGCGAUCGAAUUGCUAAGCGAAAAUUGCAGCCACUUGGAGAAAUGUCAGAUUGAAGACUGACAAACGAAAGCGCAAACACUUACGCAAAUUGCCUGAACGAAUGAACACUGAGGCAAACGAGGCAAAUGAAACUAAUUGAAAUGUGAGUGCCUGGCAAUAAGUGCAGCAGCAAUCAUUUCAUGCUCGAGGAGAGGUCAAAGUGCAAUUCAAUGCGAAACUGAUGAAACUGCAGCAGCAGCAACUGCAGAACAUAAUCUAAGGCGAGCAUAAUUAGAUAAAUGAUUAAGCCAAGUACAAGAGUCUAAUUAAAUGUUAAUUGUAGUUGAGUUCAAUUUGUAAUUUAAUAAAGAAUGCAAAAUGGGAAACUUUUGAUAUCGAAUU
rnacentral:sRNA from 1 species